rfam:Asian citrus Psyllid, Diaphorina citri - Florida Strain, whole genome shotgun sequence.
GCAAGUGAUGUUGAAUGCACUAGUUCUCAACGGCACACUGAAGUUAAGCGACGUUGUGCGUGUUUAGUAUUCGGAUGGGUGACCAUCUAGGCCUCUAGGCAAUCGCAUGCU